rnacentral:misc_RNA from 1 species
GCGCAGGGUCGACGACAUUUUCUGGUGCGCAUUAUCAUUUACCCGUAGUGCACGCGCGAAAUGCGUCGGCGUCUGGGCCUCUCUGUUCUCGCCGAGCACCAUCCAGAGAGAACAGCUGGACCUCGUGCCCAUAUCGCCGCUUUCUUUGUUUCACUUCGGUGGCAGUCGAACUGCGGAAGUGGUGCAUGCAGCACCAGUCAUGGCACUGCUCGUCAGUCGGCGAAUGCUUCACCGCGGGAGCCGACAGAGACGGCAGCGAGUGCGGAGAGCGUGGCCACGAAGACUGUCAUUCCCGAUCACAUGGCUGUGGACUGGAGCGGCGGCUCUUCUUACUACUUCUCCGAGGAAGAAAAUGCGCGUCUUUCUCGGCUGCACACGCCGCUAGCUUCGGAUCGAGAGUCUGGUGGCGCUCAUGGCGCAGUUUCCAUCACAUGCCCGAAUUCCACCAGCAUGGACGGGAAGCGAAAGGACGGCGCAGCGGCGCCGGCGUCGCGGGCAGUGAUUCACGGCGUCGCGCGCAGCUUCUCCAUCGAUCUCACCAUCCCCCCUCUACGCCGCGAAGAGGUGGAGCGGUGGAAGCUCGACGGGCACAUGUUUCGCAAGUGCAUCAACGCGAGAAAGCCGUUCGCACAUGGGUCACAAAGGAUUCAUCAGUUGCUUCCCUCAACAGCCAUGGUGACGUACCUCGGACCCGAUAUGCGCAAGAUUGAUCAGGUGCAUCGCCAGAAAGGCUACUUUACCCCCUCUGAGGUGGCUGAGGUGUUCAUUCCCCUGGUCCCGACUUUUCCGGUGGAGAGUCGACAUGUCAUGGCGACGGUGCCACCGGAGAUCUUGAGGCAGAUUGAAAAGGUGGCAGGCUCGACCUCCACACUGGCGCAGGUGGUGUUUGAGCACUACCCGAUGCUCUUUCACUAUACGCCAAAUCGCUACCGACCGGCGGUCGUGCAGCUGAACUCGGAGUUCUGGUUUGUGCGCCAGCAUCCAGGGUAUGGAAAGGCAGAUCGCGCCUUGUCGCAGUUCAGGUCCCACGCAUUGAUGGACUUUGAUGCGCCCGACACUGCCGAUGACGCGUCCGGCGUGGAGCCGCUGUAUGCGGCCUCGGAAAAGGCUGCCGCCGAGGUGGUUCCCUCACUGCGUCGGCGAGCGAAUAGUACUUCGCAGCGGAAGCCGUGGAGUGUCGAAAUGCUUGCCGUUCUUGUCCGCAACCUUCCGCGUGUGCCUACGCCAGAGUGCUCGUCACAAGAUAUGACGAGCAGAAAAGUGCUUUCACCGAGCGACGGCAAACCGCUCGUGAGGGAGCGCUACCGACCGCUGAACCUCGUCCAAUGGAUCAACGGCUUUCCUCCUGACGACCUCGCGUUUGUGAAGAAAAAACGCGAAGCUUCUGUGGUGCAGCUCAUUACGCAGUACGUACACGUUUUUCAGCUGAUGAGUCUGAAGAAGGGCGACCACAACCUCUUUGUUGAAGGGCACGUGCUUCUUUCAGGGGGAGCCGGCAGCAAAUGGAAAGCGGAUGUGGUAGACCCUCCGGCCUCCGCUGCAUCCGCCAUGGCAGAUAUCAAUAACGGUGACGAGGCUUCUCUGGCGCGUGAAGCGGGCCAGGAGGAGGCUGCGAUGGCCAGUUGGUGGUCUGUCGACAGUGCUGACGCUCCCAAGGACUCUGGCAACGCUGCGCAUGCUACCAAGGCGACUGCGUUGGGCAACGCCAAGUCCACCCUCGACGACCGAGAAAGGGUGUUCAAGCAAGCGGUGACGGAGGAGCUGAUUGGAUUGGAUAGCCUUGUUGAGGAUCGUAGAAGCGUUGGCACCGAGCUGGACUCCGAGCGCGAUGCCAUGGUCUUUGGUGAAGACGCUGAUGAGGCGGGGCCCAUCGAGCAAGGUGAGGACGACGACGGGGAGGUGGAUCAGCACAGAGGCAACUCGGAUGAUAUCUACCGGGGUGGCAGGGGGAACCACGACCCGGACUCACCGUCUUUGCCGCACGAGAGGUACUCGCAAUCACAGCGAGCACCUGCGAGAGGUGCAUCCAUGGAUGCUGUAACCGCAUUUGGAUUGCCCCUGGAAGAAAUCUACAUUCGGCGCCUUCCACCAGAUGUGGCGCCUCGCAGUCUCAGUGACUUGGACGAAACCACGUCGCCCGAUCCAGAUCUGCUCUCGAUCGCUGCAAGCUUCCUCGCCUCGCCGCCUUCGCUGCAGUCGCCCACUGCUGACUGCUUUUUCCGUCGUUGCCGGCGGAAACGAUGGCGGGUGGUGAACGCGGUAGAUGAGGUAUGGCGUUGGGUUGCAGUGGAGCGUUUGUAUGCGGGCUUCACAGUGGAGCAGCGAAGCCACCUCCGUGAGCGUUACCGAGGACUGGUUGGUUUCCUGCGCUACCACGGCAAAGUGUUUGAGCUUAGCGGGGAUCUUAUGUACGUCAUCGCACAUGACCCGAGGGGCACCGUGGCACCUAUUCCACCCAUGGAACGCGCGUUCCGCUAUGCUCAUCGUGUGGUUCUGCCAGAGGACUUCGAUGACAAUCCAGACCGAUCGGCCUCCCUCCUCGGCGAGGCCGAGCGCAAGAAGUUCGUGCGCGUCCUCGGGGAAGGUGCGAUCCCGAGUUUCCGGCGUCACCUGCUGCUUCUGGACCCUGAUAAUCCGCUCAUGCAGCACGAGGUACUCUAUGACGAGAUUGCCAACCUGCUGCCGGACCAUCCUGUGCCCUAUAUAGAGAUGAUGGCGAAGCUACCGCCGGUGAUGCGUGCAGCCCUUCCGCAGGUACUCAACUUGGCUGCCAGCAAGCGCAUCGAUGUGUACGUUGAGAAGGGCAGAACAAUGAUUCGCAAAAAGACGGCGGCCCAGCCAGGCGCAGCACCGGCGGCGUCGCGGCCACAGACGAGUGUGGAGGAGGCCAUUGCUGAACUACUUCAACUGCCCAUUGGCGAAGACGGCAUUUCGAUCAAGGCGCUUGUCGGGAUGCACUUAUCCGUGCCUGCAGCCAAUACCUUGUCGGACCACUUCGGCUCCGUCGGACGCGCAGUGCGCAUGCUGCCGCAGUAUUUCGAAGUCUGGGAAGAUGACAGCGUUGCGCGCAAGAGGAUAGUGAUGGUGCGCCUGCGCCAUUGAUCUCUGCUCCACCCGCGCCUUUCUCCUCUUUCCCUUUUCGCACGCGUUAUGCAAGGAAGAGCUCGAGCACAUGUGCGCCUUUCUUCACAGCACCGCCUGUCUGCGUCUGUUCGCGCAUGCUUGCGCGACUCUCCGUCUCUGCCCUUCCCCCUCCCCCGCUUCUCUCUCUCUCGACGACUCAAUCUAUUUGUUGUGGUGUUGGUCGUUUCUGGCUGUCGCCGAGGUUUGUCUGCUGCGGCGGAGUGUGUGUGUGUGUGCUCUUUAUUGUUUUUUUUUGCGGGCCGUUUCGCCUCACCCAGCUUCCUCGUGCGGGUGGUCUUCACAGCGCUGGGCAGCGAGCACGCUGAAGACAGCUGAAGCAACGGAAAAAAAUAUGCGUGUUUGUGUGUGUAGAGAGAGGAUGAGCGGAGGGACGAAACGAAAGUUGGAGGUGCACGGCGCUUUCGGUUGGCUCGAUUCGGGCUCGGUUCUCCCUUGUUGAGUUCUCUGCGUGAGUUGCCCUCGUUUCUUUGUUUCUCUUCCGGAUUCCUUUCGGGUUUUCUCGCGCCGCGGUGGAUUGGGCCCCACAGAUACGGACAAAAAAAAAUAGGCGCAGGGGUAAAGGAGGAGGACAAAUAGGAUUCGCCCUAGCCCUGCUAGGCUGGACAUCCUCUCUCGGGGAGGCAGAAGAUGCAAUGGAAGGAGAGGACGGGCGCCCACAAGAUGCGCGACCUACCCGCUAUCGCCUACUUGUGCGAAAGUUAGGGCGGAGGGAGAGUUGCGAGCAAAGGCAUGUCGAAACGGCGUUCGCGAAAGGCGGUGAAAGGUGAGAAGCAAGAGAUUGGUGCCAUAUCUUCUUGGUGCCUGUGCUUCUCUCAGCUGUUCCGAGCCACGUCGGACCCUCGAUGUCAUGUGGUGAUGCAGCACACACAACUCCUCCUACGCUUGCAGGUUCGAGUGUGUUGCGGUGAGGCGAGGCAGAGGAGGGACAGGAAUGUCGAGGGACUCGACAUGUUUUUGUGCGAGUUAUCGCUGCACCUGCCCAGCCGACCGCGCAUUCUUCUUUGGCUUUUCCACAAACACACUCCCUAUCUGUAUCUGUGUUUUGCACUUUGGCCUUGAUGCCGCGUAC